rnacentral:rRNA from 1 species
UACGGAGGGUGCAAGCGUUAUCCGGAUUUACUGGGCUUAAAGGGUGUGUAGGCGGACUUUUAAGUCAGCGGUGAAAUCUCCGGGCUCAACCCGGAAACUGCCAUUGAUACUAUUGGUCUUGAAUGUUGUUGAGGUGGGCGGAACGGGUCAUGUAGCGGUGAAAUGCAUAGAUAUGACCCGGAACACCGAUUGCGAAGGCAGCCCACUAAGCAACGAUUGACGCUGAGGCACGAAAGCGUGGGGAUCAAACAGG